GUGCCAGCAGCCGCGGUAAUACGGAGGGUGCAAGCGUUAAUCGGAAUUACUGGGCGUAAAGCGCACGCAGGCGGUUGGAUAAGUUAGAUGUGAAAGCCCCGGGCUCAACCUGGGAAUUGCAUUUAAAACUGUCCAGCUAGAGUCUUGUAGAGGGGGGUAGAAUUCCAGGUGUAGCGGUGAAAUGCGUAGAGAUCUGGAGGAAUACCGGUGGCGAAGGCGGCCCCCUGGACAAAAGACUGACGCUCAGGUGCGAAAGCGUGGGGAGCAAACAGGGAUUAGAUACCUUGGUAGUCC
rnacentral:rRNA from 1 species